GAACAUAAACUAGCAUGAAGUUUUGAUAGAAGGUUUUAAUUAAGAUUAUUUUAAAAUAAAAUUUUCCAUUAUAGAA